UUAAUUAUUAAUUUUGUUAUUUAAUAAAAUAAUUUUGAUUUAACAGAGUAAUGAGUAAUGAAAUUGGUUGUUGAUUUAUAGUGAAUUAGUACUGUGAGGGGAUUGUGAAAUAUAAUUGAAAUAAUAUAUUUGGUGAAAAGUAGACUGAAGGUUGUACCUUGUGUCUCAGGGUCUAUUAAAAUUAUUUUAAGGAGAUUGAUGAUCCCGAAGUGAAAAGGGCAAUAAUUAUAGUUUAGUUAAUGUGGCAUAAUUAUUAAUAAUGUAGUUUUUGUAAUGAAAUAUUAGUCGUUUUUUGCGAUAUCUGGUUUUCUAAGAAAUAAAUUGAAUUUGGGAUAGUUAGUAUGUAAAAUUUUGUAUUUAAUAUAUUUUAUAUAACGUGUGGUAAAUUCUUCGGGAUAAACUGAGGAGUUGAUUAAUUAUAAUUAAAUGGGGUAUUAAAGUGUAAUAGGCUUUAAAUUAGCUAUUUAUAUAAUAUUGUUAUAAAUUAGGUUGUAUUAUAAUAUAAUUUUAAAUUUGAAUUUAAUUAAUUUAUUGGAAUAGAAUAAUUAAUGUUGGAAUUAUUUGGAAUAAUGAUGGAAUGAGUAUAAAUUUUAAUGUAAAAUGUAAUUUAUCUUUAAAUUGGAUUUGAGGAAUUAGGCAAAUAUUUAUUCACAUGUUUAUCAAAAACAUCUCUUUUUGAGUUUAUAAAAAGUAGGGCCUGCCCACUGAGAUUUGAAGGGCCGCGGUAUUUUGACCGUGCAAAGGUAGCAAAAUCAUUAGUCUUUUAAUAGGAGGCUGGAAUGAAUGGUUUGAUGAGAUAAAGACUGUCUUAAAUUUAAAAUUAUAAAUUGACUUUUUAGUAAGAAGGCUAAAAUAUUUAUAGAGGACGAGAAGACCCUAUAGAGUUUUAUUUAAUGAGAGUUUGAUUUGAGAUGGGUGUUUAAUCAAAUUGAGCUUGAAUUGAAUUUGAUUGGGGUGAUUUGAAGAAUUAAUAAACUCUUUAUGUAAUUUAACAUUGAUUUGUGGUUAAUUGAUCCAGUAUUAUUGGUUAUAAGAUUAAAUUACCUUAGGGAUAACAGCGUAAUUUUUUUUGAGAGUUCUUAUCGACAAGAAAGAUUGCGACCUCGAUGUUGGAUUAAGAAAAUUUUUAGGUGGAGCAAUUUAAAAAAUAAGUCUGUUCGACUUUUGAAUUCUUACAUGAUCUGAGUUCAGACCGGCGUGAGCCAGGUCGGUUUCUAUCCUUAUAGAAUUAGAAGAUCUUAGUACGAGAGGACCAGAUUUUUGGAAUAAUUUUGGUGAUUGAUUGAUAUUAAACAACUAAUUUGGCAGAUAAAGUGCUUU
rnacentral:rRNA from 1 species